UCACACAGUGCCGAGGCAUGGUUGUAAACUACAGUCAGCGAGAGUAUUCCUGCACUAUUUCUCGGAAGAGAAGCAGCAUGCAAUGCAAGGUUGGCUGAUCUUGUGCGGCAUGCUUUAAACUAGCUUCACCAGAGGAUGGGGCCACAGGAGGACUUGAGGACACCUCCCAACCAAGACAGGUGAUGUGCACAAGGAGUACGCAGGAACACAUACCCCAUGGUGGAGAAGAAUCAUAAUGCCACAGCCAAUGCAAGGCAAGACUCUCCCAUCCUAUUUACCAUCUCUGGAAAGCUGCUAUGGGAAACCAAAUUCUUUCUUUUUUUAACCUGUGAAUAGAAGUAAACUGUGUGUGGAUACUUUUAAGAGUGUUAUAUAUAAGUUAUUACAUUGGCCCAGGGAUUGUAGGAGGGAACAGAAGAUCAGUAGGCUAAGAAAGCUCUCUGAAGAAACAAGCAUUAUCAUUUUAUAAGUUUAACUCCUUGAUCUUUUGAAAAUAAUGCAUGGUACAUGGAGUGGGGUGCAAAGAAAGCAUCUCAGAAAAUCAUCAAAGAAAGCAUCUAAAAAAAUGGAGCAUCUUAGAAUUCCAGACAUUAAAACUGUCUAGCAAUGCAGCAGAAAACUGGAAGAAAUUUAAGCAGAGCUUAACCAUAUAUAUGAUAAUCAGUGGAAGGAAGAGAAGGAAGAUCCACUCAGUGUAGUUUGUUUUUUGUUUUUGUUUUUAAAUACAGAAGGCCCAGAAGCUCUGUCUCUUUAUAACAGCCUGCAAUGGUCAGAAGUAGAACAAAAAAGCUAUGACACAGUAAUAAAAAAAGUUUAAGGAAUAUUGUAUACUCAAACAAAAUGAAAUCUUUGAACAGUAUAUAAUUUCCACAUGAGACAGCAGAAAGAAUGUGAGACAAUAGAGGAAUUUGUCAGAGACCUCAGGCUGCUGAGCCAGACAUGCAACUUUGGCGACCUAAAAGAGUCCAUGGUCAGAGACCAAAUAGUAUUAAGUAUGAGGGAUACGAGCCUUGGGAAAAGAUUGUUAGAGGAUCCUGAGCUUAAUUUGGAAAAGGCAGUUAGAAUGGGCCAAGCAGCUGAGAUAACAAAUGCCAGGCUGCAGAAGCUGGAGGAAAAAAUGUAGCAAAACCCCCAGUUUUUUUCUUUUUCUUUUUUUUUAAAUGCAUUCCCUUCCCUUCCCCAACCAUUUCUGACUUUGUCUCUCCCUCUCUAUUCCCUAUAGAUAAGUAUAAGUGAGCUAAGACACAGGAUAAGCUUCAGCAUUUUAUUUUGAUAGCAAGUUGUAUUUGUUUUGUUUUUUCUCCUUCUUUAUAUUGUAUAAUUAUCAUGUUUAUAUUGAUUUUUACUGUUCUAUAUUACUGUUUUACUGGUACUAUAUGAUUUAGGCUUACAUAUGUAAGUUAGCAUAAAUCAUCUCAAGUUUACAUUUUGUUUGUCAAGUCUCCAUCCUGUCCCCACCCCCGGUUGUUUAACCCAGGACUCACACCUACCUCUCUUAUGUAACUUGGUUCCUGAACAAAUGGGGAUGAAUGAGGGUGCUUGAGAGACAAUGGCAGUAGGUCUAAAAAUAGCUCCCUCUGAAUGACCGAACCAUCAACACCAAUACCUGGACCAAAGACCCAGCCCUUGGAACCACCCUCAGCAUUCAAGAAACAAAAGAUGAGGCAACCCACCAUUGUGCCAAGGCUGCAUAUGCUCAUUAAGAACACCUGGAACCCUCUGGGACAGGACUGACCUUGCCUGGACAGGCCCUUCCUGUAGGAGAUCAGAGGUAGUCUGCCCCAUAAAAAAGGGUAGUGAAGACUGACUCCUUGGGACACCCUCUCCAUCUGGACCAGCACCAUGCCACACCACCUAUCCACCUACAGGCCCUGCUGGUGACCCCCCCCUCUGGACAACACCUACUAGACAAAGACCCCUUUCCAGCCUGGAUAGGUAGCUAUCACCCCCUACCCCCUCUCCAACCCGGGACUUGGACUCUGCUUCUCUUCCCUACCUGGACUCCAACCCUUCCACUGAGUCUCUUUUUCCUGCUGCCAUUGUGAGUGCUUGUGUAACCAAUAACUUCAUAGGGCUGUGUAGUGUGUUGUCUGCUUCAUUAAACGGUUAUUUGGACCCCUAAGUUGGGUUCUGCUUUACUAUGGUUUGGCCCUGCUCCAAUCUCUGCUCCUCACCCCUCUAACUUCUGUCUCAUUUCUCCCUCUUCUGCUUCUGGCUCACUGCCACCUCCAACACCUGUCCUGAGCUCCUCUCUGCCUCCAAUCCCCCCCCCCCAUUUCUUUGCCACUGUCUUAUUCCCCACUGCCUUUUCCUCUGAGCAACCAUGUUUUUGCCCCAGUUUCUUUCCUGGCUGUCUCCUCCUUGCCUCCACUUACCUGCUCCCCACCCCCAAUAUCUCAGCUGUCUGCCUCAGUUUCCAGCCCCAAACUCCCAGGUUUCUCUCUCUCUCUCUUUCCUGGAUGUCUCCUCCUUGCCACCAGGCUUUUCCCCACCCGUGCACCAGUGACCUCAAGUAACCCUGGGGCCACUUGAUUUUAAGUAAACCCAAUCCUCAAUUCCUCAGCUAGCUUCUCUCUAGUCCACCGGUUCUAAUCCUGGUUCUGGCAACUUUCACUCCCUAUACUUAAAUACUUUCUCUCUCUCUCUCUCACCUUAACCUUCCCCCAAGUAUCCCAGGUACCCCAAGCACACAUACACACUGUACCAUCCAAGUUAGGAACUUACCUGUGUGUAUAUAUAUAUGUGUAUAAUGUGUGUGUGUGUGUGUGUAUAUAUAUAUAUAUACACACAUAUAUAUGUGCAUGAUAUACAAAUUAGUGAUAUGUGCGCGGGAAUUGAUUUUUGUCUAAUUUUUAAUGUGUAUGUGCUUGAAUUGGUGAUAGGUAUGCAUGUGCUUAGGCUAGUUUGGAUGUGUAUGUGCCUGAGCUGGGAGUGUGUGUGUGUGUGUGUGUGUGUGUGUGUGUGUGUGUGUGUGCUCCUAAUUGAUUUGUGUGUUUGUAUAUGUGCAAUUGUGUCACAACCUCCUGUCUAAGAGCGCAAUAUUGAGAUCCUAAGAGUUGGACUGACCCCACAGGGCAACAAAAACAGAACAAGCUGAACUAGACAGGAUUACAAGACUGAAAAACCUAAGGCAACAUACAAAUGAUACAGAAAGGAGGACCUCACUAUGAAGCAGGUAAGCAGAGGCCAAAGAGAAUUGCAUGGAGAAACAAUCGUCAGCUGCAGAUGCUGUGGAGGUUACCACAAACCCAUGCAAUGGCCUGUACUUGGUAAGUGCUACAACAAAUGCAAAAGAGUCAAUCACUUCGCAUCCUGCACCUUUCUGCAAACUCUUGCAAUACACAAGAAACAGCAGACGCAUGCUCUAUACAAUGAGGAAAAGGAAGAAUGUCUCAUUAGCACAAUGCAAGAAGUCAAUUCUUCUGAGAACUGGACACCAAUGGAUUAGUGGUAACUUUUAAAUUAGAUACAGGAACACAGGUCAAAGUAAUACCAGAAUACAUUAUUCAAGAAAUUAAAACUAAACCUUUGUACUAUGAGAAUAAGAAAGUGAGUCUUAGAGCAUAUGAUGGGAACAUGAUUAUAAGCAAGGGUGUAUGUGUACUGCAUGUUAGACACAAGGGUAAUAUAGUAAAAAUUCAGUUUGUAACAGUCCCAGGAAAGCUAGUGCCAAUUAUUGGGUGGCAAACAUGUAAAACUCUAGGUUUGAUUAAGAGAAUAGAUACCAUUGAGGGACUAGAAAGCAAGAACAUAGGAGAAGAGUUUUGUGUGUUUCCUGGCAUAGGGAAACUGUCAACUGAGUACAAGAUAUAAUUAAGAGAACUAAAUACUCCCACCAUACAUAGUCCAAGAAAUGUUCCCCUUGUACUAAGGGAGAAACUGAAAAAGGAAUUAGAUAUAUUAGCUAACAUGAAUGUAACGGCCCUGUUACUGGAGAGGUUUUGGCAGCUGGAGGUAAUUAUGGCCCGGCGGAGGAGGAGAUGCCUCACACCCGCCGAGAACCAAUGGGACUCAGGACUGGGGAAUAUGAAGAAGGAAGAGGCCUGAGGAAGAUGCCUUUGGGCACCACAAGAGAAGGAGACACCAUUAAGGACCCUCACCGAGAAGGCUCAGGAGGGAAGAUCCCAGGUGACGGGGCCAAUGUGGGCCAAGCAAGGACCGAGCCCCAGGACUGGUAACCCCUCCUCGCUACUUACCUGAAGCAUACAGCGGCAGCAGUGAGUCGGAGGGGUGCAGAGUUGCAGCACGGGGAAAAGCUGCGGCUCCACACCGGGACGUGGAGAAGGAACCCUGGAGCCAGGGGAGGGUGGAGGCCACCCAUCAAGCCCCUGAAGAGACAGGGACCCAGCACCCCGAACCUGAAGAUAAAAGGGGAGUGGGGCUAGGAGACAGAAACGCCCAGACCCGUGCGCUGGCUCCGAGCCUGGCAGGGGAAGCGGGCAUCACGCCUAACAAGAUGCUAACGAGCUAAUUAGUGGCAGGGAAUUGAGACGCUGCAAUAUAUUUAUCGGCCUGAUUAAGUUGAUGGGGAUCCUCCUCUUCGGAGUGCAGGGAAUCCCAGAGAUGACUCCGAUGAACUGCUCCCCCUCUGAGUUUACCUGUAAAAGAGAGAGCAAUAAAGCACCUAUAUCUUGA